AAUGGUGGAUGCCAGGAGCUGGGAGGAGGAGAAAAUGAGGAGUUACUGUUUAAUAGGUACAGAGUUCCUGUUUGGGAAGAUGAAAAAUGUUCUGGAGAUGGAUGGUGGUGAUAGUUCCAUAACAGUGUGAAUGUAUGUAGUGCCAGUGAAUUGUAGACUU